rnacentral:lncRNA from 1 species
CAGAAGUGCAUCCCAUGUCUUUCUUGGUUGGACUCGAUCAAAUGCAACUGACUAUUCUUUUUCGAUUUGAGGCGAUCGGUAAUUAUUUUGAUGAUGGGAGUGGGUCGGCCAUAGAAAGCAUUCUGGUUUCUUCUUCAGUGAGGCAUUAACGAAUCUCACAUUGAUUGAAGUGUUUGAUCUUCCCCAGUCAGUCAAAAGAAGAGGAGUAAGUUAAUCGGGGAGACAGGUUUGCAAUUGGCUAUGGAGAGUCGCUGGUUGUGCCCCUGGGGUGAGGUCAAGCAGCGAUACCUAGGACGAGCUGACAGGUACUCCUUAUAGUAUAGUCACGGGUCAGAACUGGUGUUCUACCUGAAUUUGGUUGCCAUUUUAAGAAGGCAGAGUUUCGGAGUGUCAUAUCCCGUGUCUUUCCUGCUCCAGUUCUUUAUGCCAUCGUUCGUUCAUUUUCUUUUGUUGUCCCCAAGUUCUAGGCCUGUUUUGCUGCUGUGCUCCCGCUUUCUUUUUUCUAUCUCGUCGUUAAAGUGCUCCUACCGAAGCUGCUGCGUCUACCUGUCCUUUUCUUUUAGUGCUUCGACCCGAAGCGAUAGCUUGACGCUAGUUCAGUGGAUAAGAUGGCUGCGCUCCAA